rnacentral:rRNA from 1 species
GAUGAACGCUGGCGGCGUGCCUAAUACAUGCAAGUCGACCGAGUGGCGAACGGGUGAGUAACACGUGGGAAACUCCCAUUCAGCGGGGGAUAACCAUCGGAAACGAUGACUAAUACCGCAUACUGACGGGUGGUCCCGCGGUGCAUUAGCUAGUAGGUGGGGUAACGGCUCACCUAGGCGACGACCGCUAGCUGGUCUGGGAGGAUGAUCAGCCACACUGGGACGGAGACACGGCCCAGACUCCAACGGGAGGCAGCAGUGGGGAUUAUUGCACAAUGGGCGCAAGCCUGAUGCAGCCAUGCCGCGUGUAUGAAGAAGGCCUUAGGGUUGUAAAGUACUUUCAGCGGGGAGGCGUUACCCGCAGAAGAAGCACCGGCUAACUCCGUGCCAGCAGCCGCGGUAAUAC